AGGGUGACGGAGGACAGGAAGACCCAUCCACUUCUGGGCUGGCUCCGCAAUUCGUAGCUGGGGGAAUGCCAGCCGCCAUGUUGUAAAGAUGCUCAAGAAGCCCCCUGGAGAGAGAAUCAUGUCUGUGAGAAGGAUGGAUGGAAACUCAAGAGGCAAAUUAGUUUGAAGUACUGGUAGAGCUGGACAGUUUAAACAGAGUGGUGUGGAAUGAUUAACACCUAUGUGGACUCAAGAACAAUGCAUAACAGAACUUUAAGAGUGAACCAAUGAAGACACAGCAAUAAACCAGGGAUAUUCUUGGGGGUAAGGAAGGCUGACCACUAAAGGAAAUACAUGUCAGUACAACCUGUAGUUUCUAUGUACCAUUUGAAUUAAUCUCCCCAUCCUCCUCCCAUCUGCCUUGUUCUCGCCACUGUUUGCUCAGCUCCUGCACAUACAAUACAUUUGAUAUAUAUCUAUUGAAUGAAAAAAUGUUGAUUUAGUCUAUAACUAAUAAUCGUGGCACUCCACUUCUCUAGAUUGUUCCUACAGAGGAGUUGGGUCUCAUGUUUGCUUGUGUUUAUAGAUAAAGAAGGAUUUCAUUCAGUCAUAGAAGGCUAGGGACAGACAUAUCCUGGCAUCAGUAGGCAGGCAAAGGUUAUCAGAGCCCUAGGAAGUGCAGGACAAUAAUAAGUAAGAGAAGAGCUUCAACCAUGUCAGUGUGUGUAGGAGACCUCUGUUCUUUUGUGGGCUAUACACUAUGUUCUCCUUCUUCUUUAAUAAUAGUUCCCUGAGUUACACUGGAAAACCAUCCUUUUGCUUCUUUGUCUGUAUGAUUUGAAUAAAGAGAACUCUCUGCCUCUGCAUCCUGGGAAAGACAGGUGCCCCAGACUUGGUCAAUAGAAGCUCUGUAUUCUCCUGGCAACAGUGAUUUGUUCUGAAAUGGGCAAGUGACCCAGUCGAAGCCAGUGAGAUUCAGUAGGACUUUUGCUACCACUGCUGGGAGAGAACUUGCCGUCUUUUCUGCUGCACUUGAGCCUGGGAGAAGUUGGCUCCAGAAAUUUUGCCAUCUAUCUUGCCAUCAAUCGGUAGAACUGAGAAUGAAGCCAACAGAAUGAAGUCAGAGAUUGGACAGAGAAUGAAACAGAGUUCUGAGGACAUAAUUCAGACUCUCAAUGAGGCCAUAUCCCCCUUGAUAUGGUUUGGCUGUGUCCCCACCCAAAUCUCAUCUCGAAUUGUAGCUCCCACAAUUUCCACAUGUUGUGGGAGGGAGUUGGUGGGAGGUAGUUGAAUCAUGGGGGUGGUUUCCCCCAUACUGUUAUCAUGGUAGUGAAUACGUCUCAUGAGAUCUGAUGAUUUUAUAAGGGGUUUCCCCUUUCUCUUGCCUCUCAUGCUCUUUGCCUGCCAUCAUGUUAGACGUUGUUUUGCUCCUCCUUGCCUUCUGUCAUGAUUGUGAGGCCUCCCCAGCCAUGUGGCACUGCGAGUCAAUUAAACCUCUUUCCUUUAUAAAUUACUCAGUCUUGGGUAUGUCUUUAUCAGCAGUGUGAAAAUGGACCAAUACACCCUUUUAAAGUUGCAUAUGUCAAAUUCCCUUUUUGUCUUAAGCUAAAACUUGACUUUAGUUUUCUUUCUUUUGUAACCUUAUAAGUCCUGACCAAAAGGGCUGGCUUUAGAUGGCAUACCUUUAGUCAAGGGCCCACUCAGGCCACAUACAAUAUCAGGCUCAAGGUAGCAAGACAGAGUCAGUUUUCACCAGUUGGUAGAGGUGAGGAUUCUGAUCUACUGGUUCUCUUGGGCACUGUACUGGGCUUUCAGACAGAAUAACUUAGGUGCCUGUAUUAGUCUGCUUUGCAUUGCUAUUAAAGAACACCUGAGGCUGGGUAAUUUAUAAAGAUAAGAGGUUUAUUUGGCUCACAGUUCUGCAGGCUGUACAAGAAGCAUGGCACCAGUAUCUGCUCUGCCUCUUGUGAGGUUUCAGAAGGCUUUAACUCAUGGUGGAAAGCAAAGGGGGAGCAAGUGUAUCAUACGGUGAGAUGGAAGAGAGAGAGGGGAGGUCCAAGACUCUUUUUAACAACCAGAUCUCAUGUGAACUCAUUACCACAGGGAGGUCACCAAGCCAUUCAUUAGGAAUCUGCCCCCAUAACUUAAGUACCUGCCAGUAGGUCCCACCUCCAACACUGGGGAUCACAUUUCAACAUGAGAUUAGGAGGGGACACAUAUCUAAAUUAUAUAAGUGCCUGUUACUGUGUAUGAUUGGAGAAGACAGGGACUAAUGCCAUAAGCCACCAGGAUUGAUGGAUACCUUCUGUUCUGUUCUGUUCACAGUGCUAAUAACUACAUUGUCUGCAGAAAGGUGUCCAUGAGAAAUGUGACCUGAGAUCUGAGGUGAAAUCAGCUCAAAGUUCCUGUAAAUGCAUCCAUAGGCACUUGAAUCACAAGGAAUUACAUGGGGGAUUCAGGCAUGGAGUCUCAGCAACAGAGUCCAGCAGGGAGGAUAGGAAUGUGGGUCCAGACAGGGCAGGAGGAUAUAGCAGGGAGGACAGGCUAGUGAUCGUUUGCCCAAAUAUCAAAGGCCAUGGCCAGUGCAGACUUUCGUUCAGGCACAUAUCAGCAUGAAAAGGGGCUAAUCUGGUGGUGGUGGCAGUGGUCGUAGUGGUAGGGUAUGUGUAUAGCAGGAACCUAAGUGGUGGCUCUACUUGAAAUUUUACUGCAAAGCAUGGUUCUGGGCAAUCAACCCACUCGACACAGGAAGCCAGCCACGGGAGGGCAUAUAAGGAAAGUACACAGCCUCCCCUCUCCACCUACCAUGGCAACAUGUGGUAACUGCAGGGGAGAAAAUAGACGUAGGCUCUCAUGAGGCUACCAUAAGGUGGUAGAGAUAGGGAAUACCAUAAUUCAGUGAGUUCAAAGUCAUCAAGGGCUCAUCAUAUCCAUUGAUGUUAGGGUUGAAUAAGAUAAUGCAUGUGACAUAUUAACUCUAUAACUUGCACUUCUUUAAUUAC
rnacentral:lncRNA from 1 species